AUCCAGCGGCUAUCUAGAGAUGACCUCCCUGGAAACGCAGAGUGUUAAUUUGUUCGGUGACAUUGCGAUAAAACAAUCUGCUCUUUUGGUGCUAAACAGAAAAAAGAUUUUGUCAUCUAAAGAUAGCAUGGAUCUAGGCGAACAUAUUAGAAACAUCGGAAUAGGAAUUGAUCUGAAACAAGUGUUGAAUAUGGCUUCUCAUCUUUUUUUCGAAUACUGCAAAAAAGCCGGAAUGGAAAGGUUUUUAUAACAACAAAGAAAGUUUACAAGAAUUGUUGCUGUUUUUAAAAUCAUUCCUUUUUAAUUGUUAUUUAAUUAUUUAUAUUAUGAAAUUUUGGGUUGUUUUUAUCGAGUAGUUUUUAUAACUGUAUGUAUAUAAGAAAAUAAAUUUAUUGUUAUUUACAG
rnacentral:lncRNA from 1 species